GUCGGGCUCUUUCUCCCUCUCAUGCGAGGGGAAAGCAGCACCUUCCCCAGCCUGCAAACCUCUCCGUUUGUAUCAUCCGCGGGCACGCCUGUUCGUUAUUUGUGAAAGUGGGGGAGUGCGAAAGGCAGGAAGCGGGUGGCAUCGUGGUUGAUUCCUCUCCUCUGGCCUCUUCAGGAUCCUUGAUGCACCUUGGCCUCUGCUGGGCUGCAACGGAGGAAGAAGGAGGAUGGCGGAAAGCGAAUGCGAGACCCCCAGCACUCCAGGGGAAUUUGAGAGCAAAUACUUUGAAUACAAUGGGGUGCGUCUGCCCCCUUUCUGCAGGGGAAAGAUGGAAGAAAUCGCCAAUUUUCCAGUGAGAGACAAUGAUGUCUGGAUUGUUACCUAUCCCAAAUCAGGCACCAGUUUAUUGCAGGAAGUAGUAUAUUUGGUGAGCCAAGGAGCUGAUCCUGAUGAAAUUGGAUUAAUGAACAUAGAUGAGCAGCUUCCAGUCCUAGAGUAUCCUCAACCUGGACUGGACAUUAUCAAGGAGCUUACAUCUUCCCGCCUCAUUAAAAGCCACCUGCCAUAUCGUUUUUUGCCUUCAGAUUUACACAGUGGUAAUUCCAAGGUAAUCUACAUGGCUCGCAACCCCAAAGAUCUGGUGGUAUCUUAUUACCAGUUUCACCGCUCCCUACGUACCAUGAGCUACAGAGGAACAUUUCAAGAGUUCUGUCGGAGAUUCAUGAAUGAAAAGUUAGGGUAUGGCUCAUGGUUUGAGCAUGUGCAGGAAUUCUGGCAACAUCACAUGGACUCAAAUGUACUCUUUCUCAAGUAUGAAGAUAUGCACAAGGACCUUGCAACUAUGGUUGAACAGCUGGUGAGGUUCCUGGGUGUCUCUUACGACAAAGCACAAUUAGAAUCCAUGGUGGAACAUUGUCACCAGCUCAUCGACCAGUGCUGCAAUGCAGAAGCUCUUCCUGUUGGCAGGGCUCAUUGACCUUUACUCAGAAGAUAACCCUCAGUUGCUGUGAAAGCAGGCCAUUGGUUAGCUUAUGUUCCUUACAUUUGCUUCAUGCCCCAACACAAAUCACAGUUUCAUGAAUCAAAUCAUGAACUCAGGACGAGUUGGACUAUGGAAGGACAUCUUCACUGUCUCCAUGAAUGAGAAAUUUGAUUUAGUUUACAAACAGAAAAUGGGGAAGUGUGACCUCACAUUUGACUUUUCUUUAUAAAAACAAAACAAACAUAAAUGCAUGUCUCUGAUAUCAAGAUCCUAGCUAGAAGUGCUUUCUGCGUUCAUUUAUUACUUGCUGGACACAAGACUGUACCUGUUAUGUGUAUCAAUAUUUUUUAAAAGGCACCAUGC